GUUAUAUUUCUGCUUUAAUAUAUAGUAACAUUUGAAAAUACACAGAUAUCCAGGAAAAAAAGGUAAAGCAGUAUGAGGUAUUGACAGCACAACUGUGUUUUAAUUUGGGAGUUAAUUUGGGGUGUUAUGUAACAGCAAUCAUACUUGUAGACAAACACAUCCACUAGCUCUGCAAACACAUUCAAAGGUAAUAGUAUAUAGUACACUCCACCCUGUAAAAUAUGUCAAAUACCCCCACUCUACAAAUUCACUGUGUUUCAUUAUUUUUUUUUUUGUUUUUAUAAGAAAAGGGGCAUAUCAUUAUAAUUCACAAUCCAAGUCAGAGUCUUAAUUUAGGUAUGAAAUAUUACCUGCCAAUUUGCUUCUCAAGCUACUUUAAAAAUAUAUAUAUAUUCUUUAAAGCCAUUUUAUGGCCAUGGGAAUCUAAUUAAUUUCAUAAUGAUGUUGGUUGAACAUGAUACCAAAAAAUGCAGGUAUUUUCAAGAACAAUAAAAUAGAUAACAGCAUUAAAGCAUAAUCCUUUAAGAAUUCAUGAGAAAAAAAAGGAUGAUAAAACUUAAGCUUCUUUUUCAGAUGUUUAAAAAUUUCUAUAAAAUUCUUUGUCCCAAGAUUAAUCAUAUAACCAUGGUACAUAAAAUAUGCUAACUACAUUGCCUGGUGUCAAGGUGGGAAAAUCCUCUUUUAUAACAUAAAAUCCUCUUCUAAUCCAUGUUGACCCAAGUCCUGGCUGUCUGAGGGCAGAUUCCUGUCAAGAGACCUAAGGUUGUCAUGGAAAGCAUCACUUUCGUCUACUAGUUGGUAAUCCUGUUCCAUUUCCGUUAGGAAGCCACUCCCAGAUCCUGAUCCAGAGCCGGAGCCGGAGCCGAAGCCUGAUCCAGAGUAGUCCUCAGAAAGUGGGAAGAUACGAUUCAAGUCCUGGAUUCUCGUCUUUGGAAAAAGGUCAGUCCUCAGACGGGGGAUCUUGUUGGAUUCACCUGGAAGUAGUUCGAACAUUGGUCCUUUUUCUUCAAGGCAGUUUGCAGAAUUACUGUCUGGAUUGCAGCGCACCCAUUGGUACCUGGCUCUCCGCGUAGGAUAACCUUGAACUGAGGAUUCCAGAACCAGGAUGAGGGCAAGAGCCAGGACAAGCCGACUGCAUUUGAGUAGCUUCUGCAUCAUGACCAACUUAGUCUAGCUCUCCCAGCUGCACGCCAACUUCUUGAUUAGGAA
rnacentral:lncRNA from 1 species